ACAGAGGGCGCACUGUACCUUGGCUUGACAAAACAAACGUCAAAUCGUAUGACGUAUCACUGAGUGUUUAUGAAUAUAAUAUACUUUUGUUCCAAAUGCCUCAAUGCAGUGCGUUAAAUUGUAAAACAGAGGAAUACAUUUAUUUCCAAAGGAAAGUAAACGUAGAAAGCAAUGGGAAUCUGCGUUACGUAUAAAAACUUCGAAGCUAGUAGCACAGCACGAUUGUGUGUUGCGCAUUUUACAGAAAAAGAUUAUUACGGAAAAUCAAUUAUACAGGUUAUGAGCUCCUUGCAAAAUUUCUUAAAAGACAGCUGUGCUAUCUGUGUUCUUCUUAACGAAGAUAAAACCAGAAAAUCCAGCUGCUGUGGCACAUCAACAACGUAUUGAACGAAGAAGUCAGUCGAGUAACAAAUGUAGAUGAUUCACAACCAUCAAGUAGCAAAGUUAACCUAAUAAGUGACAGAGACAAUUUACUGGAAGUUGAUCAUGAAGAAGCAGUCAAAACAGAAGACAACAGUGCAGUAGGAUGUACAUAUAUUAUGCAUGAAUUUAUAUCUAAGGGCACUCAAGUUGAUCAAGAACACAAAUAUGGGUUUAUGAAUAGAUAUAAAGAUGAUAAUGCCACUAUUAAGUUUUACACAGGUUUUGAAUCAUAUAAAAAUUGAAUUUAGUCUACUCAGCUCUUAGUCCAGUGGUUCACAAAAUAAAAUAUUAUGGCAGCAAUGUGAUUAUUCUUAGCAGUGAUUCUAAUUCUAAUUUAUUAGUUGGUGCAAUACCUGGUAGCUUGCUGUUAUAUUGUUCUCAAGCAUUUGCAGGAUUGAUAAGUGAUCAGUAGGCAGUGGAACAAAGUGACCUUUUAGCAAAA